CACAAAUUAUACUAUAUAACAUUUUGGGUAUGUUCUUAAGAACAGUUCCCGUUUUUCGGUUUUCAUGACCUACAUUUGCCGGUCAUAGUUCUUGGCUCAUAGCGGAGACGAGUGGGGGCUAGAGAGAGAGAAAGAGCAGAAAGUUCCCGUCGCCGACGUUAUGUUGGUCCGUAGGCUAGAGAGCCACCGUCACCGGCGGUGUUUGUCAGUCCAAGGGAUCCUAUGGCGUUCUCUAGAAUCCCCAAUUCUGGCAUAGCAACUGGAUUUUAGGGCACCGUCGGAGCUCAAGAUCAUCGCAUGCCUUAUGGAUUUUGGGGGUUUUCACUGUGGCCAGUCAAUAAUGGUUAGGCUUUCUUGGCCUGAGAUGUUGGUUGUUGCCGACGUCCGUUCAAGGGCACUUAUGGUGUCGAUGAUGGCUAGGGUUUCCUAUGCUGAGACUCUAACCGACUUUGAUGGGUGGUGAUUGCUUUUAUCUACGAUUAUUGAUGACUAUGGGUGCCUUCAUCUGCGAUGUUCUUGAUUUGAAUUUUGAAACCGUGAGUUCGCUUAUGUGUUUUCUUUGUUGGCUAGGAUUUCUGAAGACCACGUAUAUUGUAUAUAUAUAAAUUUGUGAUUUGUAGAGUUCCUUUGAUAAUAAUGGAGCUACAUCAUUUGAUCUAUGAUUCUAUUUUUGGCAUUGAUUUUAUGUAACCAUUGUUUGGCGUUUUGGUUAUUAAGUUAGGCAAUGAUGAUUGCGCGGGUGUAAACCGAGAUGAGGAUUUACCCAUGGCGUGGCGUGGCAUGUUUGAGAGAUGGUAGAUAUUCAUCUGUAACCUCCAAUGCAGCCACAGUUAUCUCCUUCGUUUACACCCUCUGAGUCUAUCCAACUUGAUGGUCUGUAGUGUUCUUUUCGUAAUGGAACUGGUUGCAUUAUAUAUGUAUUAGACGAUGAUGAUUGUGUGGGUGUAAACCGAGAUGAGGAUUUAACUGUGGCGUGGCGUGUUUGAGAGACGUCAGAUGCAGCCACGGUUAUAUAUAUACCUUCAUUUAUGCCCUUUGAGCCUCUGAACAAAGGGUAUUUGCAGUUUUUUAUAUGUUGAUGUUUUUGGUCAUUAUGUUAUGCACUAGAGGUGACAAUCUCAACCGGUUUGUAUGGAAAAAAGGUCUAUUAUGGUUGUAUUACAUGGGUAAUCUGUCAAAAAAGUAAAAUAAAAAUCUCAAACAAAACGGGUCAAAAGCUACUGCUUUCACUCAAACCCAUUUGACCUAUUGCUUAACCUGCCAAAUUUCCAACUCUGUUAUGCAUAGUACUUUUUUUUAAAAAAUAUUUCUUCAAUAUGGUUAUUUCAGCAAUAUAUAUUUAGUUGUUUGAUUUAAUGGAUCUUUAUUAGACUGUUGAUGGACGGGUUGUCAAAGUUAAUGAAGUCCAGACUAGAGGUGGGAGAACAAACUUUGGCCGUCAUAAUUUUCGUCGCAAUAAUAACAUAGAUAUGGAGUUUGAGGGGUAGAGAUAGAGACUAUGGUCGUGAACGUGAUCGUUCUAGGGACCAAAAUAAGGAAUAGUCUCAAGAUCAUGAUUAAGGUAAAGACAGAGGAUAUGAUUGGGCACGUGAUGUUAACCGGUCUCGGGACAUGGAUCAAGAAAAGGAGAUAAGAAGUGGGAAUAAGUAUAAAGAUCAAUUUGCGGAAUUGACCAACUGAUGCUUGGAGUUUGAGAAGGCGAAAGAAGAACUUACUAACAAGGUGGCACAAGGAUAAUAUUGGCUGAAUUGCAGGAUGUGGUGAAAGUGGAAACUAACUAGCUAGAUGUUAAUGUAACAUUAUGUCAUUGUGUGUAUAUUAUUAGUUUGAAUUUGAAUUAGGCCCUAACUUUUGGAAACCACUUUGUUAUAAUAGGAUUCCUUUUGAACUGUUGGAACUUGUGGCAUGCUGAAGGUUUGCCACUGCAUAACAUUUGUAAACAAACAUAGGUUUAACUAUGAUGGGUUUCAUUGUCGCUUUGACCA